GCAUCACUGGCGAUAUUACCGAUAUGCAAAUGAAAACUGGAAGAACUCAGUGAGGCAUCAACUUUCAUCAAAGGAACAUUUCGACGAAGAAACAUUCCAGCCUGAUCCAAGUAAUCCGACAGUCAGAAGAAAAUUUUAUAUCGUCAAAAAUCCAAACAUGAUCCGACAAAAUUUAAUCAGUGAUGCAGAUUUUGAUUUCUUUCGGAAAGAUUCAAGAGGAAUUGGUAAGCGAAUACUAAAAUUUAAAAACUCAGUAUAUAUAACUUUUGAGGUUUUACUGAAAUUACUUUUAAAAACCGCGUGUUGCCUCAUUGAAAACAUAAAUUUUUCAGAAUUCUAUCAAAAAAUGUUUGCUGGACAAAUUGGCCUUCCGCGAAGUCUUUUUUAUCAAAUCAUUGGAAACGGAAUCCCAUUUCUUGCUGGUCCAGAAAACUCAUCAAUGUUCUACCAAUUGCUUGGAAUGGGCAAAGUUGUUGGAUAUUUGGAAACUCGAUACUUUCGAGAGCACUACAGAAGCGAACACGCCGCGACCGAGCCUAAGUAUGAAGAGGAUUACGCUAAUUUCACUGAAAAAAUUCCUUCCAAUGCUGAGAAUCUGAUGUCAUAUGGAGCAGCAACCGAGAGGAACUUUCAAAAAUUUGACUUCACCGAUGAAGAAAUUGAAUUGUUUCAUUUGAACAUAAGUUCAUAUCAUUCAGUGCAGAAAACGUGCAAAGAAUGCAAUCUACCAAACUGGUGCACACCAUCUGUGGGAGAUGUUGAAACUUACGUCUUUGGAAGACAAGUUCCUAUGCCUGUGAACACACCAGUAAUUCUACAACAAUUUGAAACUGUCGCUGAACAGGAAGGCAUCAGAAACAAUCCGCUCGAAGAACGAAAAACUACUGAAGAUCCUCGAGAUAUCUCAAUUCUCGAAGCCUUAGCAUAAAAUUUGUCAGAAUUCUAAUUUGUGUUUGAAAAUUGUUCAGCCCAUUCAAAUUAUUUUCAUACUCCCGUUUAGUGUUCAAACUCUUAUAAAUUUUGUGUCAAAUACUCGCUGAGAAAGCAAAUAUUAUUUGAGUUUAAUAUUUUCAUUUUACCUUGAUAAAUCAAAUGUUGAAUUAUUUCCACUAUUUUACCAAAUGAAUAAUUUGGCUACUUGUUUUUUUGCGUCAAAAACACUGCCUCACAAUAAACUGAUUACAACAGUUUUCUCAAUUUUAUCAAUAAUGCAACGGAAAUUGUGACAAAAAGCUCAAGAAAUCGAAAGAAAAACGGAGUUUACAACAUUUCGGAAUGGUUUUUUUGGUGUAGCGUGUGACAACUGUAAAGUUUCCCUUGUUAAGAAUAGAACAAAAAUACAUUAUGUUUUUGAAAAAUCGACUUUCAGCCAAUUUCAUUUUUCGAGAACACGUGCAUUCAAAAAUGAAGUGUUUUUUUUUAGUUUUUCAAACUAUAGUGUUGGGGCCGGCGUAAUCUUUAUGAACCAGAAUUCCGAUCCAGAACUUAUAUAAUUGAAUAGGAAAUUUGAUUGUAUAUUCAUCAGUAGAACUAAAUACUGUCACAUUGUUUUAAUUUGGAAGUUAUAAAAAAUUGUAUUUUAGCAAGCUUUAAUUACCAUAAUUUUGGCUUGCCCUGAACAUAAAUCGGGUUUCAUGUAGGCCUGCGGAUUUUUACAAAAUUCAUGAUCAGUGUCUCGAGUAUGUACAUUUGAAAUGAAAAGUGAAAUUAAAAUUAAAAAUAACAGUUUUUUCAUUGCUUUUGCAGUCGCAAAACUGUCUGAAAACAACGAAUGUCAUAAUGACACCUUGAAAACUAUUGCGGCUCAAGAAAUAAAUGGCGGCUCAAAAAAUUACUUAAAAUCAGAUAAAAUUUGAAAUUUGACUAACUUAUCAAUUUCGCAGGCGCUGGAAAAUUUUUUUUUUAAUCACCGUCUAAAGUUGGGUAAACACGAUAAUUAUCUUGAGUUUUCAACUUGAUUCAGGCACUUUAAGCUAAUAUAUUCGAAAAAGCGUGUUGCUAUUUUAGAAAAAAAAAAUUACAAACAUGUUAACAAAUAAAAUUAAAGUUUCAUACUCUCUUCAUUAGUAUUGUUCGUUUUAUUAAAAUUGGAUAUUCUCUGCAAUACUUUUAGCAAAAAUACGUUAUAGCUUGUUUUAAAGCUGGAAAGGGUCUCCUGAUCGAUUCUUACCCGAGAUAUUUUAAUUGUUAAUUUGAUAAAUUAAAAAUGUUUCAAAUCGGUGAAAUAGAGUUUAACAGGGUAAGUUGGAAAAUGGUAUCUCGGGGUUUGAUACGGCAUAAGAACUUUUCAAUGAAAUAGAGUUAAUGAUGUUGAUAUCAAAAAUAAAUUUUUUGCAUCACAGCCAGUUAGUCGAAAAUUUUCAAAACAUAGAAAUGUUUAGUUUCAGAGGUAAGUGCAACUAUUUCAGGCAACUCAGCUACAACUAUGUUAAAUACGAUACAGAGUAGAAUGAUUUUUCCGUAAAUCUUGCAGUUCUGCAAAAAAAGCAGAGUUUGAAAGCUGUAGUUAUGUUAAGAAGAGUUUUGCGUUUAUUUUAAACAUUUUGAAAAGAAACGACACUGAAAAUUUGAAAAAUGAAAAACUGAAAACCUUGCCGCGAAUUUUCAGACGUUUUCUGCUUCUUUGGAAUUUCAGAAAUCACGACGCAAUUGUUCUGGUGUCACAGUACAUUGUUUCAAUAAUUUUUAGAUCACAAUUAAAACAAAAUAUUGAACAACUAUUUCAUUUAUCAGAAACGAACUUCUUGUGCUAGAAAUAAUUCUGUAGAAAUAUUUUGAAAUUCUUUGAAAUUAAAAAUCAGAUUUUUAAUAGCUCUUGACAAAUUACGGGCAAUUUUGGAGCACAUCUCAUUACUGUUUGACAACAAUGAAAUGAAUUGUUCUAAUAAAUCCACGGGUUUCUGGCUCGAUAUACAAUCAGCAAAAAAUAUAAUGUUAGACAAUUUCUUAAAGUUUUUCGGAUAAUUUGCGAAACUACAAGUUAUUAGUUUUCACAAAUACUUUAAAAAUUGCUAGACAUCGUAAAACGUUUUUAAAUGAAUUUUCAUUUUGGAUAAUAAUAUGGAAUCCUUGUAAAUCUUCUUUUCAUUUGCUUGUCUGAACGAGCUUGUUAGAUCUUGUUCGAUCGGGAAAAAGUCUCUAGAACUUUUCAUUAAAAAGCAGUAUAUGACUUACUUGUGUUCGGCAUCAACUGAUUCCUAAAAACAAUGACACUCAGUUGAUACUACUGAUUCUAUUUUAAUUACAAUAGUUCCGGGUUUAAUUUUCAUUUAUGUUGUCUCUCUAAAAACAUAUAUCCAAACAUUUUAGUUCAUAUCGAUUACGUGUUUAUGUAACCAGGUGUAUGUGACUCUGUACGCCUAAUUGGCACACGAUCACUCACUCAGACACGUCAUCGGUUGUAAACUCUCCCUCAUCGCCACCCCAAUGUGCCAAGUUAGGAGGACCACAUCCAGAAUUGCCUGUUUAUCCUCUAUUUAUAACUGGUCGACAACAACUCAUCUCUCCGUCAUUGUAUUUCAGCCAGCCGUGCAGGGUUGGUCGAUAUUUUUUUCUUUGGAUUUGGUUUUUUAGCUUUUAAUUGCUUUGCAAUAGCAACUUAAAUUUUUUAAUUUAGUCUCAGUUAGUCUCACGUUCGACCUAUUUAGUUAUAUAAUUUUGACCAAAUAAUCGGUUUUUUGUUUUCAAUUUGGUAAAAAUAAAAUAGUUUUCUUGCUCGGAACAUCUACAAACAUUACCGUUGACUCCACCUUGUGUCCUAAUCCAACCUUCCCCAGUCAUCAUCAGAUUUUACUGUCAAUUUAUGUUUAAACCAUUCUUAUUCUUGAAAUACAGUUUUAUCAUAUUGAUCAAUUUUACAAACUUCCUUAAUCAUAAACUUUUACUUUUAAACUUUUAAAACUUUUUUCCCGAUUUAAUGGAUAAUGUAUUUUUGAAGUUUUAACGGUAUCGCCCAAGUUCUCCAUGUUUUCUUCAUUUGUGUUGUGGUCUAUAUUUUUUCAUGAUCAAAUGUUUUUCAUUUUUGAAUUGUGCUCAUAAGACCGAGACGAUGAGAAGGUGUAUUCCCAGGCCCUUGUGCUAAGUUGCUACAUUGUGCAGUAUCUAGGUCACCUCCACAUCAUAAACCAGGCUGAUGGACCAAGUGUGGGAAGAGGCGGAACCACAAAUCUAUAAAUGGGCGGACCUAUACCAUGUAUACUAGAUGAGGUCGUCUCACCUCAUUUCUAAUCACAAUCGUCAACCCAAUUGUAUUCAUUUUCUCGAGUUCAUCGGAUAUGCUUUUCAAAAAAAUCUAUAUACCGUAUUUCCUCUAUUAGUCUUGCAGCCUCUAUUAGUCUUGCACCCCUAUUAGUCUUGCACCCAUACGGGCCAAUCGAAAAUUAGUCUUGCAGCCUCUAUUAGUAUUGCAGUCUCUAAUAGUCUUGCACCCCUAUUUCUGCUAGCAAUAUUUCGUGGAAACUUCAACAAAUUCGUCAUUUUUAGCUAAAUUAAAUUUUAAGUGUUCAAACAAUUGAUAAAAUAAUUAAAAAGUAUGUAUUUUGUAAUAUUUUUCAAAACAAGUUUUAACAAGAAAUGGUCCAUUUUGCAAAGCUAUUGGAUCUUCGAAAAUUAGUCUUGCAGCCUUUAAUAGUCUUGCAGUCUCUAUUAGUCUUGCACCUCUACGGGUCAAUAGAAAAUCAGUCCUGCAUGCAAGACUAAUAGAGGAAAUACGGUACAUUCUUAUUACACUGUCUAGAGUUCUUUGUAAAUAUAUUUUCUUGUUUCAAACUUUGUGUGAAACUAUGAUUUAUCUUGAAAAAAACAUUUUUUUUUUGCAGUUCGCGAUGCAGUCAAAUGACGAGAACAUCUACUUCCCAGCUAAUCAGUAUGUCAAUGCGGGACAAUACUCACCUCUGCAACAAUCAUUUUCUCAAAACUCGCAGUAUGAUUUGUUCGACGGAUUUGCCGAAUUUGGCUUUCUGGAACAAGUGCCGACGACCAACAUGCAUUCUUUCAGUCAAUCGACGCAAAUGGAACAAAAUUGUCUGCCAAAUGUCAAUAAUUCUACAAGGAAGCGAAAGGCUCCAGGACAAAACGAGCAAGCAACAGUGAAACGACGUCAAAUCGGCAUCGAGAAAUGGAGGUUGCCAUCAAGAUCGGUAGUCCAACCGAGUGCAGAUAUUUCUGAUUUGAGGCGCCCACCUAUCUCGUAUGUUGCAUUGUGUGCCUUAGCCUGUCGGAAUGCUCCAGAUAUGAAAAUCACCCCAGCUGGAGUCUAUGCAUUUAUUCUG
rnacentral:sRNA from 1 species